GACUUUAAAAAUAGUUAUUUUGAAAGUAACUUAGAAGAAAUAUUCUUAAAAGUCA
rnacentral:tRNA from 1 species